rnacentral:lncRNA from 1 species
CCUUGCUGUAGGUCUUCUGUUACUUCAGAGGGAAAUACAGAAACAUACAGGAGCUCAGGAGCAAACAGAGCAUCGGGAACAUCAGGCAACGUAAGAGAGGACUUGAUUCUGCGAGGUACAGAGAAUGCUAGUCCCAAUCCAGCAUAGUUCUUAAGAAGAUACAGAUGGCCUCACUGGGUCAGACCAAUGGUCCAUCUGGCCCAAUAUCCUGUCUCCUGACUGCGGCCAGUGGCAG